rnacentral:lncRNA from 1 species
ACCAUUGUGCCCAGCAAAAUAACAUAAGUCAAACUACAAUUAAUACGAAUUGAUGUCAAUUAUACCACCUACUAAUAAUCAUUAUUAUACCAGAAAAUGAUCCAUAAUAAUCCACAUAAACAAACUAAUAAGCAUACGUACAGGAGAACAAUUAACACGAAAAUUUGAAAUGUAUCAUAUCAAAACCUCAACUAUUUUAUAAAAGUACAAUAUAGCAUCCACACGCCCAAUAAAAUAAGUAAAUGUCAUACCCCUUUUUAGCAUACAAUGAAUAAUUAUCAUAUUAUACAAAUUUUAUUCUAAACUUAAGGAUAUAACAGGUUCACAUAUAUUUAAAUAUUAUAACAUUAAAGAAUAUUAACA